UACGUAUGGGGCGAACGUUAUUCGGAAUUAUUGGGCGUAAAGGGUAUGUAGGCGGACUAGUAAGUUGAUUGUUAAAUACUUAGGCUUAACCUAAGAACAGCUUUCAAAACUAUUAGUCUGGAGAGUAGGAGAAGAAACCAGAAUUCUUGGUGUAGGGGUGGAAUCCGUUGAUAUCAAGAAGAAUGCCAGAGGCGAAAGCGGGUUUCUAGCCUAUUUCUGACGCUGAAAUACGAAAGUGUGGGGAGCAAACAGG
rnacentral:rRNA from 1 species